UACGUAGGGUGCGAGCGUUGUCCGGAAUUAUUGGGCGUAAAGAGCUUGUAGGUGGUUUGUCGCGUCUGCUGUGAAAAUCCGGGGCUCAACCCCGGACUUGCAGUGGGUACGGGCAGACUAGAGUGUGGUAGGGGAGACUGGAAUUCCUGGUGUAGCGGUGGAAUGCGCAGAUAUCAGGAGGAACACCAAUGGCGGAGGCAGAUCUCUGGGCCGUAACUGACGCUGAGGAGCGAAAGCAUGGGGAGCGAACAGG
rnacentral:rRNA from 1 species